UAAUAAAUUCUCAUGCAUUAAGAAAGAUAAAAAGUUUUAAGACAGUGCCACGGAGUCAAGCGUGUUUCACUCCAUGUUAUGCAAGUUAAGUGAAACACAGACUCAAGUGUGUUUCACUCCAGGUAAUGCCAGUUAA